GUUUAGUUGCACAGUAUCUGUUGGUCUGUGCACUUGAAAAAUUUAUUUAAUUAAAAUAAUGUCCGGAAACGAGGUUUAUUUAUGUGCUGAACCUCUGCGUGAAAAAGGACUUGCCAAAAACCUUACGCACACUUCUACUGAAGUAAAGUUUACAAAUGGCCAAAAUUAUAAUAUUUCAUAUGGUUUGGACGGGGUAACAAGUUCCUUAGGAACAGGAUGCUCGCCCUGUGAAGAUAAAGGAAAAGCCAUUUUUAUAGGACAUACUGAUAAAACAGUAGAGGAAAUCACAGCUGAAACUAAAAAGAUGGAAGAAACAACAUUUAAGGAAUACAAUGUGUUAACUAAAAAUUGCAAUUUGUUUAGUGAUACAUUGACAAUGUUUCUAUGUGGCCGAAAUAUUCCAUUCUUUUAUUGGGGUCAAUCACUUUGGGUUUCUAUUUUAAUAGUGAUCAUCAUCGGAUUGAUAAUUUUGGCAGCAGUGUCAGUUGUCAAGUAUUUCAAAAGGAAAAAUAAGAGGACAGCACAUAAUUCUAGCGAAAAACGAAUCCGUAUAAAAAAUAAUUAAUUUGCUUGAACACGAAGGUUUUUUUAUGCCGUUGUAUUUUUUUUUUUCGAAUUUGGAGCUUUUUUCCUUCCUAAUAAAAAAAUUAAAUAAAAUUA